AUCGCUUCUUGGCUUUUUAACUGAGUGCAGUAUCUGUACCUAUCAGUUUAAUAUCUGGUACAUCCUCUAUCCAAGGACAAUAUAUUUAAUGUAUUUUUGGAACAGGGAGAUGAAAUAGGAGCUUGCUUUGUCUGUUCCAUGCAUAGACGUGAUAUUACAGUACCUCCAGGAACAGUAUACCCCUC
rnacentral:snRNA from 1 species